CACAUUCGUUCCGGUUCAGUUUCUGAUCGGGUCAAACCCGGUCAAAGUCAGUCAACUCGGUCAAGACAAGUCAGCGGCUCAGUCAACGGGUGUCGGUACAGUCAACUCAGUCAACACACGACUUGGGUGACCUCGGUGUUCCAUCCUCCUAAUCUCUUACGCUCGUCAACUUUUGGGAUAAUCGGAAGACUUAGCAAUUUUGUGAGUAUACUC